UUGAUUUCAAACUUUAAUUUUUUUAUUUUGAUUUUGAUAUUUGAAUUUGCAUUCAAAAUUAAAAUUUUAAUUUAAGGUGAUAUUAAUAGUUAUAAUAAUUUAUUAUUGUAUUAUCUUUCCAUCGUAUCGAACUUAUUGAUUGGGAAUCCUUACAGGUUCGAACUGCUCUCUGCAUCACACGGAAGGUCUGCGAUAAAUAAUAUUUAAAAAUACUAAUGCAUAAUAAAAAAAAAAAAGUGAUGCUAAUAGUUAUAAUAAUUUACU
rnacentral:lncRNA from 1 species